UACAGAGGUCUCAAGCGUUGUUCGGAUUUAUUGGGCGUAAAGAGCUCGUAGGCGGUUUGGUAAGUCGGGUGUGAAAUCUCCACGCUCAACGUGGAGGGGCCACUCGAUACUGCCAUGACUCGAGUCCGGUAGAGGAGUGUGGAAUUCCUGGUGUAGCGGUGAAAUGCGCAGAUAUCAGGAAGAACACCCGUGGCGAAGGCGGCUCUCUGGGACGGUACUGACGCUGAGACGCGAAAGCGUGGGGAGCGAACAGG
rnacentral:rRNA from 1 species